rnacentral:rRNA from 1 species
CGAAAGCCUGACGCAGCGACGCCGCGUGGAGGAUGAAGGUCUUCGGAUCGUAAACUCCUGUCUAGUGGGACGAAAUCCGGGGAGGUGAACAGCCUUCCCGGGUUGACGGUACCGCUGGACGGAAGUCCCGGCUAACUCCGUGCCAGCAGCCGCGGUAAUACGAGGGGGCCAGCGUUGUUCGGAAUCAUUGGGCGUAAAGGGCGCGUAGGCGGCCGCACAAGUCGGACGUGAAAUCCCUCGGCUCAACCGGGGAACUGCGUCCGAUACUGUGUGGCUCGAGUCCUGGAGAGGGUGGCGGAAUUCCCAGUGUAGCGGUGAAAUGCGUAGAUACUGGGAGGAACACCGGUGGCGAAGGCGGCCACCUGGACAGGUACUGACGCUAAAGCGCGAAAGCGUGGGGAGCAAACAGGAUUAGAUACCCUGGUAGUCCACGCCCUAAACGAUGGGUACUUGGUGUCGCGGGUAUCGACCCCUGCGGUGCCGAAGCUAACGCAUUAAGUACCCCGCCUGGGGAGUACGGUCGCAAGGCUG